rnacentral:rRNA from 1 species
GAUGAACGCUGGCGGCGUGCUUAACACAUGCAAGUCGAACGAAGCACCUGUAUGGAUCCCUUCGGGGUGAAGUGCUUGUGACUGAGUGGCGGACGGGUGAGUAACGCGUGGGUAACCUGCCUUACACAGGGGGAUAACAGUUAGAAACAGGUGCUAAUACCGCAUAACAGUUUAUGCCGCAUGGCAUAAGAGUGAAAGGCGCUUUCGGGUGUCGCUGAUGGAUGGACCCGCGGUGCAUUAGCUAGUUGGUGAGGUAACGGCUCACCAAGGCCACGAUGCAUAGCCGACCUGAGAGGGUGAUCGGCCACACUGGGACUGAGACACCGGCCCAG